GUCAGGAUGGAAACUGUCUGUGCCAGUGGUUUCACAGUUUCACUCUGACACACUCACAGUGAGGGAAGGAGGGAGGAAAAUGAAGAAAGACGGAGAAACAGACAACAACUUAAGCUACCAAGGCCACAUCAGCUGGAAGCUUCGUCCACCUACCAUCCCUCUCUACCUCAGAUGAAGGGAAAGUGACAUAACCAGAAACAGCAAGAGGCAGAGGAGGGGAAAUAAUGCAGAGAGUAAUUUCAUUGUGAAGUUGUCAGAGGGGACAGUCUUGCUGUCUACUAAAACAAGUCAAGCCUUUACGUUUGUUUACCCUGCUACAGCUAGAAAUCAAAAGUCACAUUUGUGUGUAUGCACAUAUACUCAUGUGUGUUUAUGUAUUCACUCACACACAUACACAACUGUUAAUAAAAUGAGAAACUUUAUAUCUAA